rnacentral:tRNA from 16 species
GUUAGUUGAGUUGGUUGUGGUGCUUGGCUGUAAUUUGAAUGUCCUGGGUUCCAACUCCACUG